UCAUCGCCUCAAUGGUAUGCUGGACGUGAAGCGGGCCAUCGGUGAAUAUCGCUAUGGCGUCGAUAUCUUUAGCGAGCACCAAUUCCUCAAGUGAGUUGUAGGCCUUCUGGCAAUUAUAAACCUUCAUCAAUCGCUUGCGCCGGUCCUCGCGCAGGUCACUGACGGCCUGAACGAUGCAGUCCGGAUGCUCGUGCCACUGAAAGGCGGUCCCAAAACCUCCUCCAACAACACCGAUGCGAACUUUUUUAGGAGCGGUAUUGACAGCUAACACGG
rnacentral:rRNA from 1 species